AUCCAGCCAACGAGUUCCAAAUAGGACGAAACGCGCGUCUUGGAU
rfam:Schistosoma mansoni, Puerto Rico, WGS project CABG01000000 data, contig: 0252